rnacentral:rRNA from 1 species
GACGAACGCUGGCGGCGUGCUUAACACAUGCAAGUCGAACGGAAAGGCCCUGCUUUUGUGGGGUGCUCGAGUGGCGAACGGGUGAGUAACACGUGAGUAACCUGCCCUUGACUUUGGGAUAACUUCAGGAAACUGGGGCUAAUACCGGAUAGGAGCUCCUGCUGCAUGGUGGGGGUUGGAAAGUUUCGGCGGUUGGGGAUGGACUCGCGGCUUAUCAGCUUGUUGGUGGGGUAGUGGCUUACCAAGGCUUUGACGGGUAGCCGGCCUGAGAGGGUGACCGGCCACAUGGGGACUGAGAUACGGCCCAGACUCCUACGGGAGGCAGCAGUGGGGAAUAUUGCACAAUGGGCGGAAGCCUGAUGCAGCAACGCCGCGUGCGGGAUGACGGCCUUCGGGUUGUAACCGCUUUCGCCUGUGACGAGGCGUGAGUGACGGUAAUGGGUAAAGAAGCACCGGCUAACUACGUG